rnacentral:rRNA from 1 species
AGUGAACGCUGGCGGUAGGCCUAACACAUGCAAGUCGAACGGCAGCACAGUAAGAGCUUGCUCUUACGGGUGGCGAGUGGCGGACGGGUGAGGAAUACAUCGGAAUCUACUUUUUCGUGGGGGAUAACGUAGGGAAACUUACGCUAAUACCGCAUACGACCUACGGGUGAAAGCAGGGGAUCUUCGGACCUUGCGCGAUUGAAUGAGCCGAUGUCGGAUUAGCUAGUUGGCGGGGUAAAGGCCCACCAAGGCGACGAUCCGUAGCUGGUCUGAGAGGAUGAUCAGCCACACUGGAACUGAGACACGGUCCAGACUCCUACGGGAGGCAGCAGUGGGGAAUAUUGGACAAUGGGCGCAAGCCUGAUCCAGCCAUACCGCGUGGGUGAAGAUGGCCUUCGGGUUGUAAAGCCCUUUUGUUGGGAAAGAAAAGCAGCAGGUUAAAACCCCGCUGUUCUGACGGUACCCAAAGAAUAAGUACCGGCUAACUUCGUG